rnacentral:rRNA from 1 species
GUAAGCCGUUGAAGGUGUUCUGUAAGGAAUGCUGGAGGUAUCAGAAGUGCGAAUGCUGACAUAAGUAACGAUAAAGGGGGUGAAAGGCCCCCUCGCCGAAAGCCCAAGGUUUCCUGUUCAAUGUUAAUCAGAACAGGGUUAGUCGGCCCCUAAGGCGAGGCAGAAAUGCGUAGUCGAUGGGAAACAGGUUAAUAUUCCUGUACUGAUCAUAACUGCGAUGGAGAGACGGAGAAGGCUAGACGGGCCAACUGUUGGAUUAGUUGGUUUAACCGCGUAGGCAGAAAUCUUAGGUAAAUCCGGGAUUUCCUCUUAAAUGAGAAUGCUGAGACGGGAUGACGAGCACCUUAUUAGGAGCGAAGUCGUUGAUGCCCUGCUUCCAGGAAAAUCUUCUAAGCUUCAGGUUAUGAUUAACCGUACCCCAAACCGACACAGGUGGGCGGGAUGAGUAUUCUAAGGCGCUUGAGAGAACUCGGGUGAAGGAACUCGGCAAAAUAACACCGUAACUUCGGGAGAAGGUGUGCCCCUAUUAUGUGAAGCGACUUGCUCGUGGAGCAGAACGGGGUUGCAACAAAGAGAUGGCUGCGACUGUUUACUAAAAACAUAGCACUCUGCAAACUCGCAAGAGGAAGUAUAGGGUGUGACGCCUGCCCGGUGCCGGAAGGUUAAUUGAUGGGGUUAUCCGUAAGGAGAAGCUCUUGAUCGAAGCCCCGGUGAACGGCGGCCGUAACUAUAACGGUCCUAAGGUAGCGAAAUUCCUUGUCGGGUAAGUUCCGACCUGCACGAAUGGCGUAACGAUGGCCAUACUGUCUCCACCCGGGACUCAGUGAAAUUGAACUCGCUGUGAAGAUGCAGUGUACCCGCGGCUAGACGGAAAGACCCCGUGCACCUUUACUACAGCUUUACAUUGAACUCUGAGCACGCAUGUGCAGGAUAGGUGGUAGGCUUUGAAGCGGGAACGCUAGUUUCUGUGGAGCCACCCUUGAGAUACCACCCUUGUUUGUUUGGGGUUCUAACCCAGACCCGUAAUCCGGGUCGGGGACAAUGUAUGGUGGGUAGUUUGACUGGGGCGGUCUCCUCCCAAAGAGUAACGGAGGAGC